GCCAGGUGUGGUGGUGCAUGCCUGUAAUCCCAGCUACUUCUUGGGAGGCUAAGGCAGGAUAAUCGCUUGAACCCGGGAGGCAGAGGCUGCAGUGAGCCGAGACUGUGCCACUGCACUCCAGCCUGGGUGACAGAGCGAGACCCUGUCUCAA
rnacentral:SRP_RNA from 1 species